AUACUUACCUGGCAGGCGAGAUACCAUGAUCAUGAAGGUGAUUUUCCCAGGGCGAGGCUUAUCCAUUGCACUCCAGAUGUGCUGACCCCUGCGAUUUCCCCAAAUGUGGGAAACUCGACUGCAUAAUUUGUGGUAGUGGGGGACUGCAUUCAUGCUUUCCUCUG
rnacentral:snRNA from 1 species